rnacentral:rRNA from 1 species
UACGAAGGGUGCAAGCGUUAAUCGGAAUUACCGGGCGUAAAGCGUGCGUAGGCGGUUUGUUAAGUCUGUUGUGAAAUCCCCGGGCUCAACCUGGGAAUGGCAAUGGAUACUGGCAAGCUAGAGUGUGUCAGAGGAUGGUGGAAUUCCCGGUGUAGCGGUGAAAUGCGUAGAGAUCGGGAGGAACAUCAGUGGCGAAGGCGGCCAUCUGGGACAACACUGACGCUGAGGCACGAAAGCGUGGGGAGCAAACAGG